GAACGAAUGUUGAAGAGGAGAGUAGAAUAAGGUACAUCCUUCCCAGAGAGAAUCGCCACUGGCUGAGAGCGAUUCAAGAGAUGACUUUUUCGAAAUGCACCUCGGAGUCUGAUGCUAAAAGGCCCUAAAGCCGAGUAAGUAGCAGCGGCAUCCUCCCGUUACGAGGCUUAAGUGGGGAUGAGGGCUUUUUUUAAAAAAAAGCCCUCAUCCAAACAGAGUGGAACCGCGCGAUAAGCGUCUCUGUG
rnacentral:ncRNA from 1 species